AGAUUGAACGCUGGCGGCAUGCUUUACACAUGCAAGUCGAACGGUAACAGGCCGCAAGGUGCUGACGAGUGGCGAACGGGUGAGUAAUGUAUCGGAACGUGCCCAGUCGUGGGGGAUAACGCAGCGAAAGCUGCGCUAAUACCGCAUACGAUCUAUGGAUGAAAGCGGGGGACCGUAAGGCCUCGCGCGAUUGGAGCGGCCGAUAUCAGAUUAGGUAGUUGGUGGGGUAAAGGCUCACCAAGCCAACGAUCUGUAGCUGGUCUGAGAGGACGACCAGCCACGACUGGGACUG
rnacentral:rRNA from 1 species